rnacentral:rRNA from 1 species
GACGAACCGUGCGAACGUUGUUCGGAAUCACUGGGCUUAAAGGGCGCGUAGGCGGACGGGUAAGUCCGGGGUGAAAUCGUUCGGCUUAACCGGACAACAGCCCUGGAUACUGCCGGUCUGGAGGAAGGUAGGGGCAGCUGGAACUUCCGGUGGAGCGGUGAAAUGCGUUGAUAUCGGAAGGAACGCCGGUGGCGAAAGCGAGCUGCUGGACCUUUUCUGACGCUGAGGCGCGAAAGCCAGGGGAGCAAACGGG